rnacentral:tRNA from 12 species
GCGGAAGUAGCUCAGUGGUAGAGCAUCGCCUUGCCAAGGCGAGGGUCGCGGGUUCAAAUCCCGUCUUCCGCUCCA